GCCGGACGUGGUGGCCCACGCCUGUAGUUCCAGAUACUCAGCAGCCUGAAGCUGGGGGAUCACUUGAGUUCUGGCUGUAGUGUGCUAUGCCAAUCAGGCGUCCGCACUGAGUUUGGCAUCAAUAUGGUGACCUUCCAGGAGCAGAGGACCACCACGUUGCCUAAGGAGGGGUGAAGUGGCUCAGGUUGGAAACAGAGCAGGUCAAAACUCCUGUCCUGAUCAAUAGUGGGAUCAUGCCUGUAAACAGUGCUCCAGCCUGGGCAACUUAGUGAGACCCUGUCUCU
rnacentral:SRP_RNA from 1 species